rnacentral:rRNA from 2 species
GGUUAAGCGACUAAGCGUACACGGUGGAUGCCCUGGCAGUCAGAGGCGAUGAAGGGCGUGCUAAUCUGCGAUAAGCGCCGGUAAGGUGAUAUGAACCGUUAUAACCGGCGAUACCCGAAUGGGGAAACCCAGUGUGACUCGUCACACUAUCAUUAACUGAAUCCAUAGGUUAAUGAGGCGAACCGGGGGAACUGAAACAUCUAAGUACCCCGAGGAAAAGAAAUCAACCGAGAUUCCCCCAGUAGCGGCGAGCGAACGGGGAGGAGCCCAGAGCCUGAAUCAGCAUGUGUGUUAGUGGAAGCGUCUGGAAAGGCGCGCGAUACAGGGUGACAGCCCCGUACACAAAAGCGCAUGUGCUGUGAGCUCGAUGAGUAGGGCGGGACACGUGGUAUCCUGUCUGAAUAUGGGGGGACCAUCCUCCAAGGCUAAAUACUCCUGACUGACCGAUAGUGAACCAGUACCGUGAGGGAAAGGCGAAAAGAACCCCGGCGAGGGGAGUGAAAAAGAACCUGAAACCGUGUACGUACAAGCAGUGGGAGCCCCACCACCAAAGCAUUUGCUGUACCGCGUUGACGGAGCGAAGCGACGUCAAACCGAUAAAACAGCAGUGUAAAGUGAGCCGCAGGGCGCUUUGCGCGACAGCGCAAAGGCAGGCGGUUUCGCGUAGCGAAAGCGAAUGCUUUGGGGUGGGGUGACUGCGUACCUUUUGUAUAAUGGGUCAGCGACUUAUAUUCUGUAGCAAGGUUAACCGAAUAGGGGAGCCGGAGGGAAACCGAGUCUUAAUUGGGCGUUAAGUUGCAGGGUAUAGACCCGAAACCCGGUGAUCUAGCCAUGGGCAGGUUGAAGGUUGGGUAACACUAACUGGAGGACCGAACCGACUAAUGUUGAAAAAUUAGCGGAUGACCUGUGGCUGGGGGUGAAAGGCCAAUCAAACCGGGAGAUAGCUGGUUCUCCCCGAAAGCUAUUUAGGUAGCGCCUCGUGAAUUCAUCUCCGGGGGUAGAGCACUGUUUCGGCUAGGGGGCCAUCCCGGCUUACCAACCCGAUGCAAACUGCGAAUACCGGAGAAUGUUAUCACGGGAGACACACGGCGGGUGCUAACGUCCGUCGUGAAGAGGGAAACAACCCAGACCGCCAGCUAAGGUCCCAAAGUCAUGGUUAAGUGGGAAACGAUGUGGGAAGGCCCAGACAGCCAGGAUGUUGGCUUAGAAGCAGCCAUCAUUUAAAGAAAGCGUAAUAGCUCACUGGUCGAGUCGGCCUGCGCGGAAGAUGUAACGGGGCUAAACCAUGCACCGAAGCUGCGGCAGCGACACUGUGUGUUGUUGGGUAGGGGAGCGUUCUGUAAGCCUGUGAAGGUGUGUCGUGAGGCAUGCUGGAGGUAUCAGAAGUGCGAAUGCUGACAUAAGUAACGAUAAAGCGGGUGAAAAGCCCGCUCGCCGGAAGACCAAGGGUUCCUGUCCAACGUUAAUCGGGGCAGGGUGAGUCGACCCCUAAGGCGAGGCCGAAAGGCGUAGUCGAUGGGAAACGGGUUAAUAUUCCCGUACUUGGUGUUACUGCGAAGGGGGGACGGAGAAGGCUAUGUUGGCCGGGCGACGGUUGUCCCGGUUUAAGCGUGUAGGUGUGUGUUCCAGGUAAAUCCGGUUCACUUUAACACUGAGGCGUGACGACGAGGCACUACGGUGCUGAAGCAACAAAUGCCCUGCUUCCAGGAAAAGCCUCUAAGCAUCAGGUAACAUCAAAUCGUACCCCAAACCGACACAGGUGGUCAGGUAGAGAAUACCAAGGCGCUUGAGAGAACUCGGGUGAAGGAACUAGGCAAAAUGGUGCCGUAACUUCGGGAGAAGGCACGCUGACACGUAGGUGAAGUGAUUUACUCAUGGAGCUGAAGUCAGUCGAAGAUACCAGCUGGCUGCAACUGUUUAUUAAAAACACAGCACUGUGCAAACACGAAAGUGGACGUAUACGGUGUGACGCCUGCCCGGUGCCGGAAGGUUAAUUGAUGGGGUCAGCGCAAGCGAAGCUCCUGAUCGAAGCCCCGGUAAACGGCGGCCGUAACUAUAACGGUCCUAAGGUAGCGAAAUUCCUUGUCGGGUAAGUUCCGACCUGCACGAAUGGCGUAAUGAUGGCCAGGCUGUCUCCACCCGAGACUCAGUGAAAUUGAACUCGCUGUGAAGAUGCAGUGUACCCGCGGCAAGACGGAAAGACCCCGUGAACCUUUACUAUAGCUUGACACUGAACAUUGAGCCUUGAUGUGUAGGAUAGGUGGGAGGCUUUGAAGUGUGGACGCCAGUCUGCAUGGAGCCGACCUUGAAAUACCACCCUUUAAUGUUUGAUGUUCUAACGUGGACCCGUUACCCGGGUUGCGGACAGUGUCUGGUGGGUAGUUUGACUGGGGCGGUCUCCUCCUAAAGAGUAACGGAGGAGCACGAAGGUUGGCUAAUCCUGGUCGGACAUCAGGAGGUUAGUGCAAUGGCAUAAGCCAGCUUGACUGCGAGCGUGACGGCGCGAGCAGGUGCGAAAGCAGGUCAUAGUGAUCCGGUGGUUCUGAAUGGAAGGGCCAUCGCUCAACGGAUAAAAGGUACUCCGGGGAUAACAGGCUGAUACCGCCCAAGAGUUCAUAUCGACGGCGGUGUUUGGCACCUCGAUGUCGGCUCAUCACAUCCUGGGGCUGAAGUAGGUCCCAAGGGUAUGGCUGUUCGCCAUUUAAAGUGGUACGCGAGCUGGGUUUAGAACGUCGUGAGACAGUUCGGUCCCUAUCUGCCGUGGGCGCUGGAGAACUGAGGGGGGCUGCUCCUAGUACGAGAGGACCGGAGUGGACGCAUCACUGGUGUUCGGGUUGUCAUGCCAAUGGCACUGCCCGGUAGCUAAAUGCGGAAGAGAUAAGUGCUGAAAGCAUCUAAGCACGAAACUUGCCCCGAGAUGAGUUCUCCCUGAGACUUAGAGUCUCCUGAAGGAACGUUGAAGACGACGACGUUGAUAGGCCGGGUGUGUAAGCGCAGCGAUGCGUUGAGCUAACCGGUACUAAUGAACCGUGAGGCUUAACCUUACAACGCCGAAG